UUGAAAACGGUUUGCUAGAAGUGCAGUUUUCGAGUUUUGUAGUGUGGAUUUUCUGAGUAAAUUUCUUUAAUAAUUACAUUUUUCGUGUGAAUUAAACUACACAAUUCGGAGCUAAACAUACCUUCAUUUUGGUUGUCAAUUAUUAAAACAACGAAUGAAGAGAUCAGUUUGGUUGUGGUGAGGACAUGGAAUGUUGGAGUUUGCAGCCUGGCAUGCUGAUUCACUCCUGUCAUGGACCACAGCUUUCAAGUAUCUCUUGACAGGGAUGAACUGGAUGGACUCUUCUAGAUAGCUGGGGCUGGAGAUACAUGACAACAUUUCUCAGUGCCAUGCAUCGAUGCUGAUAUGAGCUGGAGGACAUCCUCAUGUGACAUGAGUCAUCGACCAGAGCCUUCAAGUAUGGCUGUUGACAGCUGGACAUGGAGGAGAGAGAGACAAACAACGCGAAAGGAUGGCCUGCUCAAACGGAACAGUGGGAAGAAGAAGAAAUAUAGAAGACGCAGCAAAGAAGAUUCAUUUUUACAAAAUAGUGGGACUCUAGUGUAAGAGUUUAUAUAAAGUGAAAACUACAAACAUUGACAUUGAAAAGUGCAUAACAGUGAAUUAUUGAUGUGAAGUGAUAGAUAGUGAAAGGACUCGAAUAUACUUUCAUUUUCAAAAGACGUUGAAUUGAUUUAUAUUUUGUUUGUGAUGUUGUUGAUAUUGUGCAUGUUUUGGGGUGGGUGUCCAAGUGGGGCAUUUUCAGGCAUCGCGGAGACAGCUGGACGGACGGACUACGCAGAACUUCAAUCAAGGUAAAAGUCAGCUCUCGACCGAUUGUAACAGUUCAUUCUAGUUCUUUUUCUAAAUUCUUAUUUCUUCAAGUUUUAUUUUGAAUUCAUUUUUUCCAGAUCUGAAUCAUUGUUUCCUAUUUCAGUGAAUUAUUAAUUAUUACUUCACUAAAAUAGGAG